rnacentral:misc_RNA from 1 species
GAGCAAUCAAAUACAAAAAAGGGGUUGAAAAAUAAGAAGGAAAUUGCACUUACCUUCGAAGGGCAGCUAGGGUCUAUUGAGGUCGAAGAUCGCCAGGGAACGUGUGUAGGUCGUGUGGUGUGGUGUGACGUUGAGUGUAAAUAGGUGUCCUGACGGUCCCCGAAAAGGAGGCCCCCAGACUUUGACAGUGAGUAGGCACCCCCGGUCACAGAAUUGAUUAUAAAGAAAUACACAAGCAGUUACAGUCACAAGCAC